rnacentral:rRNA from 1 species
GAUGAACGCUGGCGGCGUGCCUAAUACAUGCAAGUCGAACGCUUCACUUCGGUGAAGAGUGGCGAACGGGUGAGUAAUACAUAAGUAACCUGGCAUCUACAGGGGGAUAACUGAUGGAAACGUCAGCUAAGACCGCAUAGGUGUAGAGAUCGCAUGAACUCUAUAUGAAAAGUGCUACGGGACUGGUAGAUGAUGGACUUAUGGUGCAUUAGCUUGUUGGUAGGGUAACGGCCUACCAAGGCGACGAUGCGUAGCCGACCUGAGAGGGUGACCGGCCACACUGGGACUGAGACACGGCCCAGACUCCUACGGGAGGCAGCAGUAGGGAAUUUUCGGCAAUGGAGGAAACCCUGACCGAGCAACGCCGCGUGAAGGAAGAAGUAAUUCGUUAUGUAAACUUCUGUCAUAGAGGAAGAACGGUGGAUAUAGGGAAUGAUAUCCAAGUGACGGUACUCUAUAAGAAAGCCACGGCUAGCUACGUG